rnacentral:lncRNA from 10 species
GCAUGAUUGUAUUAUCCCAAGAGACUCCGGCCCUGUUUCUCCCGCGCACAGAAGGGUUCUGUGCGCACUGAGGUUCAAAUGCAAGAAUAAUUGUGAACACAAAAGUACUAUUCCAAGGCAGAGACCACCGCCAUUCCUUGAACCUCACGGUAACUAUGUGCCAAGGGCAGCAGUUGGCAGCCCACUCCAGAGAAACACACGCCGUAAGGCUGCAUGAACCCGACCGAACUGAAUAGGAUGUGCAAGGACAUGAUAUAUGAGAAGACUUGAGUUCCAGUCCUGACUAUGGCACUGCCAGACACAGCUUUUAAGUUGUCUUCAGCAUUUACAUACUAUUAACCCAUACUUGGCCUCGUCUGAUCCUCAAAAAACUUGGCUUAUUGAAGAAGGAUGACAAGCACUCAGAGAAGUUGGUUGGUACAGAGUUUCUCUGCUGGUUACCCCAGGUGUGGUGUGGACCCCAGAAGGAUGACAGGUUGAAUCCAAGGGCAGUCCCCUUCCUGGCACAGCAAGCAAAAUAAAGUGAAGCCCCUGGAGGCUCAGGCUCCACAGCAAGACCACAGAGAAGACCAGCCCUCUCCCAUUGCCACAAAGACAAGAGAUAGCUUGAAAGAAGACAGCUAAAAGUGGAGACUCAGACCCUGCCCUGGAGGGACAGUUGAAGUU